rnacentral:rRNA from 1 species
AACGAACGCUGGCGGCAUGCCUAACACAUGCAAGUCGAACGAGCCCUUCGGGGCUAGUGGCGCACGGGUGCGUAACGCGUGGGAAUCUGCCCUCAGGUACGGAAUAACUCAGGGAAACUUGAGCUAAUACCGUAUGAUGUCUUCGGACCAAAGAUUUAUCGCCUGGGGAUGAGCCCGCGUCGGAUUAGCUAGUUGGUGGGGUAAAGGCCCACCAAGGCGACGAUCCGUAGCUGGUCUGAGAGGAUGAUCAGCCACACUGGGACUGAGACACGGCCCAGACUCCUACGGGAGGCAGCAGUGGGGAAUAUUGGACAAUGGGCGAAAGCCUGAUCCAGCAAUGCCGCGUGAGCGAAGAAGGCCUUCGGGUUGUAAAGCUCUUUUACCCGGGAAGAUAAUGACUGUACCGGGAGAAUAAGCCCCGGCUAACUCCGUGCCAGCCGCCGCCGUAAUAC